rfam:Pasteurella multocida subsp. multocida str. Anand1_buffalo contig989, whole genome shotgun sequence.
AGUGCGAAUGCUGACAUAAGUAACGAUAAAACGAGUGAAAAACUCGUUCGCCGGAAGACCAAGGGUUCCUGUCCAACGUUAAUCGGGGCAGGGUGAGUCGGCCCCUAAGGCGAGGCUGAAAAGCGUAGUCGAUGGGAAACGGGUUAAUAUUCCCGUACUUGGUAAAGCUGCGAUGUGGGGACGGAGAAGGUUAGGUAAGCGGACUGUUGGAUAUGUUCGUUUAAGCAGGUAGUUGGAAAGGGUAGGCAAAUCCGCUCUUUCAUA